AGCAGUCGCCACGGUAAUCCGUAGGUCCCGAGCGUUGUCCGGAUUUAUUGGGCGUAAAGCGAGCGCAGGCGGUUAGAUAAGUCUGAAGUUAAAGGCUGUGGCUUAACCAUAGUACGCUUUGGAAACUGUUUAACUUGAGUGCAAGAGGGGAGAGUGGAAUUCCAUGUGUAGCGGUGAAAUGCGUAGAUAUAUGGAGGAACACCGGUGGCGAAAGCGGCUCCCUGGCUUGUAACUGACGCUGAGGCUCGAAAGCGUGGGGAGCAAACAGGAUUAGAGACCCCUGUAGUCCCUGUCUCUUAUACA
rnacentral:rRNA from 1 species